CUGCCAUGUUUUCUCUUUCUUUUAAGCUCUUCUCUGUGUUCUCCACAGGGCUUUGUGCAUGAAUCUGAUAUUGGGUGAAAAUUCACGACUAAGGCCAGAGGCUGUGUGUGUGGUGGGUGUGCAGAGGCUGUGUGUGUGUGGUGGGUGUGCAGAGGCUGUGUGUGUGGUGGGUUUUCAGAGGCUGUGUAUGUGUGGUGGGUGUGCAGAGGCUGUGUAUGUGUGGUGGGUGUGCAGAGGCUGUGUGGGUGUGCAGUGGAUGUGGGGGGGGUGGGUGUGCAGAGGCUGUGUGUGUGGUGGCUGUGCAGAGGCUAUGUGCGUGGGGUGGGUGUGCAGAUGCUGUGUGAGGUGGGUGUGCAGUGGAUGUGGGGGGGUGGGUGUGCAGAGGCUGUGUGUGGUGGGUGUGCAGAGGCUGUGUGUGUGGUGGGUGUGCAGAGGCUGUGUGUGUGGUGGGUUUUCAGAGGCUGUGUGUGUGGUGGGUGUGCAGAGGCUGUGUGUGUUUGUGCGUGUGUGGUACGUGUGCAGCAAUCACGUCCAGAGUUCCGAGUGGCAUGACCAGCUGGUCACUGGGGCAGGCGCGAGCCCUCCUUUCUUACAAACACCCCCAACUUAUAACUCAUCUACAUCCAACCUUCUCUGUCUAAAGGCUGGUGCUCAGGACACCUGGAUAUGCCCACAAACUACAGGGUCCCCACCUCUGACGCUUCCUGGGAUAGAUGUUAAAUGCAAACAGGCUGCAGUGAAAGUGGAACAGCAUCCCUGCCUGUUAGCAAGGGAC